rnacentral:rRNA from 1 species
GACGAACGCUGGCGGCGUGCUUAACACAUGCAAGUCGGACGGAAAGGCCCUGCUUUUGUGGGGUGCUCGAGUGGCGAACGGGUGAGUAACACGUGAGUAACCUGCCCUUGACUUUGGGAUAACUUCAGGAAACUGGGGCUAAUACCGGAUAGGAGCUCCUGCUGCAUGGUGGGGGUUGGAAAGUUUCGGCGGUUGGGGAUGGACUCGCGGCUUAUCAGCUUGUUGGUGGGGUAGUGGCUUACCAAGGCUUUGACGGGUAGCCGGCCUGAGAGGGUGACCGGCCACAUUGGGACUGAGAUACGGCCCAGACUCCUACGGGAGGCAGCAGGGGGGAAUAUUGCACAAUGGGCGGAAGCCUGAUGCAGCAACGCCGCGUGCGGGAUGACGGCCUUCGGGUUGUAAACCGCUUUCGCCUGUGACGAAGCGUGAGUGACGGUAAUGGGUAAAGAAGCACCGGCUAACUACGUG